AUUGAACGCUGGCGGCAGGCUUAACACAUGCAAGUCGAGCGAGCGGCGGACGGGUGAGUAAUGUCUGGGACCCUUCCUGAUGGUGGGGGAUAACUACUGGCAACGGUAGCUAAUACCGCAUACCAUCGGAUGUGCCCCGAUGGGAUUAGCUAGUAGGUGGGGUAAUGGCUCACCUAGGCGACGAUCCCUAGCUGGUCUGAGAGGAUGACCAGCAACAAGGGAACUGAGAAACGGGCCAGACGCCUACGGGAGGCAGCAGUGGGGAAUAUUGCACAAUGGGCGAAAGCCUGAUGCAGCCAUGCCGCGUGUGGGAAGAAGGCCUGCGGGUUGUAAAGUAUUUGCAGCGAGGAGGCGUUACUCGCAGAAGAAGCACCGGCUAACUCCGUGCCAGCAGCCGCGGUAAUAC
rnacentral:rRNA from 1 species